rnacentral:misc_RNA from 1 species
AAGUCGUACAAGGUUUCCGUAGGUGAACCUGCGGAAGGAUCAUUAACACGUAUCCAACGUAAAAAACCCCCCUGUGAACAUUCAAACCUGCUCUCGUAGCCCAGUGCGAUCCAGCAAUCCCGGUAAAUCAUUGUCGAACAGUAUUGAUUCGGGACUUCUGACAAAUGAGAAGUUACAGUUACGAUUGAGCGGAGAUGCAGUCAGUGUCUGAAAGUUUCAUUGAUUGUCUAAGGAUCUCACCUCAACGAUUGCCAGAGGUCGCUCACCGACCGGCAGACAUGCAACCGGGUCCCCCUUUACAACUCCAUUACCUCUGUGAGUCGCGGGAAACUAGCGGCUAAAAACCUCGAACAACUGUUAACAAUGGAUAUCUUGGUUCUC